AGUGAACGCUGGCGGUAGGCCUAACACAUGCAAGUCGAACGGCAGCACAGGAGAGCUUGCUCUCUGGGUGGCGAGUGGCGGACGGGUGAGGAAUACAUCGGAAUCUACUUUUUCGUGGGGGAUAACGUAGGGAAACCUACGCUAAUACCGCAUACGACCUACGGGUGAAAGCAGGGGAUCUUCGGACCUUGCGCGAUUGAAUGGGCCGAUGUCGGAUUAGCUAGUUGGCGGGGUAAAGGCCCACCAAGGCGACGAUCCGUAGCUGGUCUGAGAGGAUGAUCAGCCACACUGGAACUGAGACACGGUCCAGACUCCUACGGGAGGCAGCAGUGGGGAAUAUUGGACAAUGGGCGCAAGCCUGAUCCAGCCAUACCGCGUGGGUGAAGAAGGCCUUCGGGUUGUAAAGCCCUUUUGUUGGGAAAGAAAUCCAUCUGGUUAAUACCCGGGUGGGAUGACGGUACCCAAAGAAUAAGCACCGGCUAACUUCGUGCCAGCCGCCGCCGUAA
rnacentral:rRNA from 1 species